CCUUUCAUCCCUAGGUGUUUGAAGUGCAUCUUUGCAUUUCCUGCAUAACUGGAUCCUAGCUCAUUAAGGGUUGCAGACAUCAGCCUCUGGAGAGAAGACAGAGUGGUGCUAACUCCUGGGAAGUGCUUUGCAUGGCAUGACAGGGAGAAAGGCCUGAGUGCCAUCGCCCUUGAGCAUCAUGGGCAGGGAUUUGGAGCACAUGCACAGGUUUGGAGGAGGAGAGGUCAAGCUCCCAAAUGUUGUUUUCCAUCCGUGUCAAAAUGGAUUCAUCAUGUCAAUGUAAUACAAGAUAAGAAUUCUUACUUACUGGAGGA